AUGGCCGCCGACACCGCCUACGCGAAGUGGGUGCUGCUCGCCUGCAACGGCGGCGGCGACGCCGUCUCGCGGGGGGUCGCCGUUGGCCUCGCCAGGCACGGCUGCAGGCUGGUCCUGGUGGGCGACGAGGGCGCCCUGGCCGCGACGGCGGAGGAGGGCGCCCUGGCGCGACGAUGCAGCCCAAGUGCGGUGUGCUUCCGCCUUAGCCGACGCAGUCGGCCACUACUAGCAGCAACCCCUGAGCCCGACGCGUCGCUGCCGCCUGCCGCGGCUCCGCCUACUCCUCUGCCGCCGGCUCGCGCCGCGAGGAUAGUAGCCGCUUCAUUAGAGGACGCGCUUAUCAAAGGUACGGCCUCAUCGGUCUCCCACCUUGGCCUGGAUUCCGUCAAAAAGAUGGUGCUGGGUAGUGGAUCUGACUGCCCCCUCUCCUGUCUCUGCGUUUCUCCCAUACGAAACCCUAGGCCGGGCAGAGGCGAGUCUAUUGGGCAGGCUCCUCAGGCCCAGCCAUCUACGUCCCCAACUCACCAUUAG
rnacentral:rRNA from 1 species